GACGAACGCUGGCGGCGUGCUUAACACAUGCAAGUCGAACGGAAAGGCCCUGCUUUUGUGGGGUGCUCGAGUGGCGAACGGGUGAGUAACACGUGAGUAACCUGCCCUUGACUUUGGGAUAACUUCAGGAAACUGGGGCUAAUACCGGAUAGGAGCUCCUGCUGCAUGGUGGGGGUCGGAAAGUUUCGGCGGUUGGGGAUGGACUCGCGGCUUAUCAGCUUGUUGGUGGGGUAGUGGCUUACCAAGGCUUUGACGGGUAGCCGGCCUGAGAGGGCGACCGGCCACAUUGGGACUGAGAUACGGCCCAGACUCCUACGGGAGGCAGCAGUGGGGAAUAUUGCACAAUGGGCGGAAGCCUGAUGCAGCAACGCCGCGUGCGGGAUGACGGCCUUCGGGUUGUAAACCGCUUUCGCCUGUGACGAAGCGUGAGUGACGGUAAUGGGUAAAGAAGCACCGGCUAACUACGUG
rnacentral:rRNA from 1 species